rnacentral:lncRNA from 1 species
GCAAAAUAGGGCAUACAUACUGACUUGACCACAUGGCCACAUGACAUGCUCGUGUGCCAGGCCAUGUGAAAAUUAGGGAGGCUACUGACUUGGGUCAAACGGCCAACCACACGCCCAUGUACCAACCCGUGUGCCACACAUGACCAAUAAACACACCCAUGUGUUUAGGCCGUGUCAAAACUAUAAGGUAUACUGACUUAAAAUCGUAGGGCACCCAAGGGGACACACGGCCGUGUCACAUAACCGUGUGUCAC